ensembl:lncRNA
CUCAAAGCCAAGCAAGCCACACAGAAAAGGUUUUGGGGGGUGUGAAAGCCAAGAUGAGUCUUUGUGCCUAGCUUCUUUCCUAGGGGUGCUCUAGGAGUCUCUGAGUGAUGUGUAAAUGGAACUUGCUUCUAUCAGAGGGAUUUUAUUGGGUGAACAAAGCACAAAGAGCGAGGUCCCUGGUCAAGCAGAGGGUAAGCAGAGGAGUAACGCUGCGGUUUCCCUGCCUGAGCUGAUUUACUGCGCUGAUCCUACAGGGAGAGCAAAGAAAGAAAAAAAAAGAAAAGAAAAGAAAAAGAGGAGGAAAAAAACCCCAACAAGCAUUAGAGCAUUUGAAAGCAGGAAUAUCACUG